rnacentral:sRNA from 1 species
GCGGAGCGCUAGUGGCACUAUACUUUCAGACAGGAUAUCCCGUCUUUCCCGCUAGAUUGAUGAGAUCGGGCAUC